CGGCCACCAUCAUCCACAGAGGGCAAUCACCAGCAUGAAGUGGUCCUGCCUGAUAUGGUCUCACCCCAGGCACAGAAAGUAAGAGCCCUGGGUGGAGCUGAAGGUGCUCAGCUGGGCUUGUCAGGAGUCCCAUCUGUCGGUGAAUUGACAAGAAACAGACCAAAACGACUCCUCCAAUGUUGAUGAGCCUGCCCCUGGGAUUUGGAGACCUGAUAACAGAGAAAACCAAGAUAGGCACAGGACUUCAACAGGAUUAUGGUCAAUUAAGCAAAUUAGAAAAGGAUACUUGAAGGGGUAUCUGGGACACAGGAGUCAAAAACACUAGGAAGACAUGAGGAUUUUCCCUAAGAGUCUAAAUUACAGAAAUGUUUAGAUAACUAACACCAGUGUAUGAAUGAGGAAUUAUAUUAUCACAGGGAUAAAAUUUACAUUGAGUUACAAACUGUUAACAAAAAGGUUAAGAAAAACUUGUAAGGCUGUGUCAGUUCAGACAAAGGCAUUCUUCCCAUCCAAACUGUUCACUUUAUCUUGAAUUUGACCAUCUGGAGAAAAGGCGGGGCCUCUCCUGACAGGAAGGUACUGGGGCCCAGGCAGGGGGAAUGAGGUCUCAGAAUGACUCCCUUGAGAGCCCUGUUCCCCGUUCAUCAACACACAGACCCAGAAGACUUCAUCCUGCAGCAGCUGCCAUGAACAUUGCCCUCCUGUGCUGUGCGGCCUUUUGUCUCCUGUGGGCAGGUCCAGUGACUGCUGGUGUCACUCAGACCCCAAAAUUCCAGGUCUUGAAGACAGGACAGAGCAUGACGCUGCAGUGUGCCCAGGAUAUGAACCAUGACUACAUGUACUGGUAUCGACAAGACCCAGGCAUGGGGCUGAGGCUGAUUCAUUACUCAGCUGGUGAAGAUACCACUGCCAAAGGAGAAGUCCACGAUGGCUACAGUGUCUCCAGAUCAAACACAGAGGAUUUCCCGCUCAGGCUGGAGUCAGCUGCUCGCUCCCACACAUCUGUAUACUUCUGUGCCAGCAGUUACUCCACAGUGCUGCAAGGCCGUCUCCUCUCUGCACAUAAAGGCAGGGAGGCUCUGCCCUCCUCCCCACCCAAGACUCAGUGAUGCCUUGAGCAGAAUUCUCUAUGCCAGGAAACUUGGAACCCUAUCAUCCUGGGUCUGAGGCCCCCAGGAUGAAACAGGAUUUGUAUUUCAGACCCAUCUAGACUCCCAUCUCUCCCUGGGGACCAUGCUGCUUCCUCUCUCUAGGGUUCCCCCAGCCCCCACCCUCACGUGGUCUCUCCAGUGGCCCACCUUUCCCAUGUAAGCAGUCACCAGUCAAAGCCUUGUUGGGUUUCUCCACCUUCCACUUCCCUACCCCUCUCUACUGCAGCCAUGAGGGGAGCCCCUCUUCUGUGCCUCCUUCCUCCCCAUCACAGAGACUUCAAAGUCCAUUUCCUCUGCCCUGGGCUGGAGCCUUCUUUUCUCUAGUGGCCAACUCCCACCUGUGCUUCAGAUCUCAGCAUGAUCAGCCUCUCCUGUGGGAAGCAUUUCCUCACCUCCCAGCUGAGAUCAAUUUUUCUGUUAUAAGCACUGAUGGUAGCAUGUGCUUGUUAGUCAAUAGAGUUUAGCACAGUUGGA